rnacentral:rRNA from 1 species
AUUGAACGCUAGCGGGAUGCCUUACACAUGCAAGUCGAACGAGUGGCGAACGGGUGAGUAAUGUCUGGGAAACUGCCUGAUGGAGGGGGAUAACUACUGGAAACGGUAGCUAAUACCGCAUACAAUCAGAUGUGCACAGAUGGGAUUAGCUAGUAGGUGGGGUAAUGGCUCACCUAGGCGACGAUCCCUAGCUGGUCUGAGAGGAUGACCAGCCACACUGUAACUGCGACACGGUCCAGACUCCUACGGGAGGCAGCAGUGGGGAAUAUUGCACCAUGGGCGCCAGCCUGAUGCAGCCAUGCCGCGUGUGUGAAGAAGGCCUUCGGGUUGUAAAGCACUUUCAGCGAGGAGGCGUUACUCGCAGAAGAAGCACCGGCUAACUCCGUGCCAGCAGCCGCGGUAAUUC